rnacentral:rRNA from 1 species
CCCUUAGAUAGUUUGGGCUGCACGCGCGCUACACUGAUAACCAAAACAAGUUUAAAUGUUCGAAGGAAUAUUUUACUCGUUAAAAGUUAUCGUGCUAGGGAUAGGCCCUUGUAAUUUUUGGCCUUGAACGAGGAAUUCCUAGUAUGCGUAAGUCAGGAACUUGCACAGAAUAAGUCCCUGCCCUUUGUACACACCGCCCGUCGCUCCUACCGAUUGGAUGUUCCGGUGAGGAAUGAGGACAGGGAUUUAUCCUUGAAACUGUUUCAAACCUUAACAUCUAGAGGAAGGAGAAGUCGUAACA